rnacentral:misc_RNA from 1 species
AAGUGUUAUUAUUUGUUGAAAAAAAAAAAAUGAUUAUUAAGAGUUUAUUUAAUAAUCAACAAAAAAAAAUAUAAUAAUAAUGAAUCAUAGUAAUAAUAGUGGUAUGAAUCAUUACAUUGAUGACUCAAUGAAUAUUACAAAACCCAUCAUGAUGGUUGAAAUACCAGAAACAUUGAGUUAUGAUUAUUGGUUUACAAAAAGAGCUAGUGAUUUUGUUGAGUUGACAUGUCUAUUGCCAAAUGGUGUUGUUGUACCACUUGAAACAAAUAGAAAUUCAACAUUAGCUGAAAUAAAAGAUGAACUUUGGGAUGAGGCAAUUAAAUAUCCACUUCAAGUUCAAUUAAAUAAUUCGGAAUCAUAUUUAUUUUCAUGUAUAAAUAGUACAAAUGCUGAGGCAAUUGAAUUACGUGAUGAAAGUAGACGUUUAUGUGAUGUUAAACCAUUUUGUUCAGUACUCAAAGUUAUUAAACAAUUAAGUAAAAAAACAGAGGAACAUUUAGAUUCAGAUAUUAGUUUACUUAUUGGUAAAGGUUUACAUGAAUUUGAUUCAUUACAAAAUACUGAGGUUAAUGAUUUUCGUAAAAAAUCAAGAGUACUUGGUGAAGAAAUAGCAUUAGCUAGAAUGAAUUAUAGCUGGGAGGAAAAAGUACGUUAUCAAUAUCCAUCAAGGCUAUCAACAAGUGAUGAUAUACCUAAAACUGUACUUGAUAAAAUUAAAGAUGGAAAUAUUGUACUUGUUACUAAAUUUGAACAUACUGAGGCAACAACAUUUACAUUUCAAAUAGCACAUACAUCAACACCACAUCAAUUAAUUGUACAAUUUCUAACAAAACGUGCAAAUCGUCAAUUAUCAAAAGUUGAAGAAAAACCAAAUGAUUUUUGUUUAAAAGUAUGUGGCCAAGAAGAAUAUUUAAUUGGUAAUUAUCCAUUAAUAAAUUUUAUAUAUAUACAAGAAUGUUUAUCACGUGAUGUAACACCAAUAAUUGUUGUUGUUAAUAGUGAUACAAUUGACAUUGAUAAUAAUAGCAAUAAUAAUGAUAUUAAAUUAACACCAACAACAUCAACAUUACGUCCAAAUAAUAAAAAUAAACGUGAAUCAGCAUGGAAAAUAAAAGAUAAAUUUAAAUUUACUGUUAAUAAUAUAUCACGUUUAAAUUCUGAUGCUGAACAACGUACUGUUGAAAUAGUAUUACAAGCUGGUUUAUUUUAUGGUGGUAAAUCAUUAUGUGAAAGUCAAAAAACCAAAGAAAAAAUUGUCAAUGCUGCUGGUAAUUGUGAAUGGGAUAAUGAAAUAUUAAAUUUUGAUAUAUGUAUAUGUGAUAUACCACAUAAUGCUAGAUUAUGUUUUGUACUUUAUGAAAUAAGUAAAUCAUCAAAAGGUGCUGGUGGACGUAGAUUAAUAAAAGAUCCAAAACAAGAAUAUUUUAUGAAUCCAUUAUCAUGGGUUAAUACAACUGUUUAUGAUUUUAAAUCACAAUUUAAAAAUGGCUCAAUAAUAUUAUACACAUGGGCAUACGUUGAAGAUAUACAAAAUGAAGAUUUAUUAAAUCCACUUGGUGCUGUUGUAUCAAAUUCACGUGUUAAUUGUGCAGCAGCAAUAACAUUAACAUUUCCAAAUUUAUGUAACAACAAUAAAACAGUUGAGUAUCCAUCAUUUGAUAAAAUUAUUGCAUACGCAAAAGCAUUACGUGAUAAUAAAUUGUUAAUAAAAAAUAACAACAACAAUAACAGUAACAACAACAAUAAUAGCAGUAGCAACAAUAAUGAUAGUAAUGAUGUCAAUGAUAAUUAUGAUAAUGACAACAGCAGUAGUUUAUACAAUGAAAUAAUUAUAAAUAGAGAUGACACAAAACAAAAAUUAAUAAUUGAAAAAAUUAAUAAUGAUGAUAAUCCAAAUAAAUUACAACAAUUUGAAAAAAUAAAAUUGUUAGCUGAAAGUGAUCCAUUGCAUGAGUUACAUGAACAAGAUAGAAAAACAAUAUGGGCAAUGAGAACACAUAUAUCACAUCAAAUACCAACAUUAUUAUCAAAAUUAUUACAUUGUUUUGAAUGGAAUGAUCAUGAAGAUGUUGCUGAAGCAACACUACUUGUAAGUACAUGGCCAAAAUUACCAGUUGAAAAAGCACUUGAAUUACUUGAUUAUGCAUAUGCUGAUAGAACUGUUAGAAGUUUUGCUGUAAGUUGUAUUAAAGAUAUAUCUGAUGAUGAUUUAAGUUUAUAUUUACUACAACUUGUACAAGCACUUAAACAUGAAAAUUAUUUAUAUUGUGAUUUAACAGAAUUUUUAUUACGUCGUGCAUUAAAUAAUCAACGUAUUGGACAUUUUUUAUUUUGGCAUUUACGAUCUGAAAUGCAUGUUAAAUCAGUAUCAAUUAGAUUUGGUUUAAUAUUAGAAGCAUAUUGUCGUGGUUGUCAAAAACAUAUUAUAACAUUACAAAGACAAGUUGCAUUUUUAGAUAUAUUAAAAACAUCAUCUGAACAAAUUAAACUUAAAAAAGAUCGUAAAAAUGCAUUACUUGGUUUAAAUGAUCAAUUAAAAGAUUCAUAUUAUGAAACAUCAUUGACAAAUAUAUUGUGUCCAAUUGAACCUGGUAUUAGAUUAAAAAAAAUAAAAAUUGAUAAAUGUCGAAUAAUGGAUAGUAAAAUGCGUCCAUUAUGGCUUGUAUUUGAAAAUUCUGAUCCAUUUGGUGAUGAUGUAUUUAUUAUAAUGAAACAUGGUGAUGAUUUACGACAAGAUAUGUUGACAUUACAAAUGUUAAGAAUAAUGGAUAAGCUAUGGAAACGUGAAGGUCUUGAUUUUCGAAUGAAUCCAUAUCAUUGUAUAUCAACUGAAAAUAAAGUUGGUAUGAUUGAAGUUGUCUUGGAAGCUGAUACAAUUGCAAAUAUACAAAAAGAAAAAGGUAUAUUUACAGCAACAUCAGCAUUUCGUAAAGAAUCAUUAUUAUCAUGGUUAAAAGAUCGUAAUGACAGUGAAGUAUCAUUAAAUAAAGCAAUACUUGAAUUUACAUUGAGUUGUGUUGGUUAUUCUGUUGCUACAUAUGUACUUGGUAUUGCUGAUCGUCAUUCAGAUAAUAUUAUGCUUAAAAAAAAUGGACAAUUAUUUCAUAUUGAUUUUGGUCAUAUACUUGGACAUUUUAAAGAAAAAUUUGGUAUACGUAGAGAACGUGUACCAUUUGUAUUGACACUUGAUUUUGUUCAUGUUAUUAAUAAAGGACAAACUGGAAAAGAACAAGUUAAAGAAUUUCAACAAUUUCGAGAUUAUUGUGAAAGAGCAUUUCUUAUAUUGAGAAAACAUGGAAGUUUUAUAUUGUCAUUAUUUGCAAUGAUGAUAUCAACUGGUCUACCUGAGUUAUCAUCAGAAAAAGAUCUUAAUUAUUUACGUGAUACAUUGGUACUUUCAAUGACUGAGGAUGAAGCUAAAAAACAUUUUCGUAAAAAAUUUGAUGAAGCAUUGUGUAAUUCUUGGAAGACUUCACUCAAUUGGACAUCACAUAAUAUGGCUAAAAAUAAUAAAGUCACGUAAUCAAUUUAAUAUUUAUAAAUCAUCAAUAAUUAUAAAUAAUAAUUGUGAUCUCAGGAAGACUGCAAGUGCUCAGAAAAAACUUGAUUCAAAUUAAUGGGAAUAAUUUAAAGAAAAUGCGUAGGCAUGAAUUACCAUGCCAAUAAAAAUUAGUGCCAAUAAUAUAAUUAAUAAAUAUAUCG